rnacentral:rRNA from 1 species
GAUGAACGCUAGCGGCAGGCUUAAUACAUGCAAGUCGAGGGGCAGCAGGACUGUAGCAAUCCAGUUGCUGGCGACCGGCACACGGGUGCGGAACACGUACGCAACCUACCCAAAACUGGGGGAUAGCCCGGGGAAACCCGGAUUAAUACCUCGUAACCUUUUUAAGUGGCAUCACUUGAUAAGUAUAGCUCCGGCGGUUUUGGAUGGGCGUGCGCCUGAUUAGGUAGUUGGUGCGGGUAACGGCCCACCAAGCCUGCGAUCAGUAACUGGUGUGAGAGCACGACCAGUCACACGGGCACUGAGACACGGGCCCGACUCCGACGGGAGGCAGCAGUAAGGAAUAUUGGUCAAUGGACGCAAGUCUGAACCAGCCAUGCCGCGUGAAGGAUGAAGGUCCUCUGGAUUGUAAACUUCUUUUAUGGGGGACGAAACCCGGAUAUUCUUAUCCGAUUGACGGUACCUCAGGAAUAAGCACCGGCUAACUCCGUG